CCUACGGGAGACAGCAGUGAGGAAUAUUGGUCAAUGGUCGGGAGACUGAACCAGCCAAGCCGCGUGAGGGAUGAAGGUACAGAGUAUCGUAAACCUCUUUUGUCAGGGAACAAAGGCGGGGACGUGUCCCCUGAUGAGUGUACCUGAAGAAAAAGCAUCGGCUAACUCCGUGCCAGCAGCCGCGGUAAUACGGAGGAUGCGAGCGUUAUCCGGAUUUAUUGGGUUUAAAGGGUGCGCAGGCGGUCUGUUAAGUCAGCGGUCAAAGCCCGGGGCUCAACCCCGGCCCGCCGUUGAAACUGGCAGUCUCGAGUUGGAGAGAAGUAGGCGGAAUGCGCGGUGUAGCGGUGAAAUGCAUAGAUAUCGCGCAGAACUCCGAUUGCGAAGGCAGCAUGCCGGCUCCACACUGACGCUGAGGCACGAAAGCGUGGGUAUCGAACAGGAUUAGAUACCCUGGUAGUC
rnacentral:rRNA from 1 species